GCCAAGGUGGCAGAGUCUGGCCUAACGCCAGCGGCCUGCAGAGCCGCCCAUCGCCGGUUCAAAUCCGGCCCUUGGCU
rnacentral:tRNA from 1 species